rnacentral:lncRNA from 1 species
CCUGGCUGUCUCAGGGGCAGGACUUGCAGAGCCGCUCCUGACCUUGAACUGGGGCUGUGGUCUAAGCAGGGACCCUCACAGGUGAGGAGCGGUCAUCCCUUCUCCGUCCUGGCCAAGAAGUACUGGGUGGACUAAGCCCUGCCCAGGAGGACUCCACUAGGGCCUGGGACACACGGGAAGGGCUCCUCCUGGACAGAGCUCCGCGGGGCCCCCCUGAGGGCAGCAGCUUUGUAUCUGGCCUGGAAGGAGGCUCAGGGUCAGGGCCAUGACCAGGCCGGCCAAGCUCGGCAAAUCUAUUAUUGAUCUCAUGCGUGUUCGGUGAACCUGCUUUUAAAUCUUAGUGGAACAGAGAGGGAGGCAAACGGACAAACUGAUAAAUAACCAUGGUAACGACUCGCCACCCCCACUCCUGUCCUGUGGAUUCGGCCCUGGAUGAUGGGGGCCUGCUCAGCAGGGCAGGGACUCAUUUUCUGUGCAGCCACCCGCUGACCUGGCCUGUCCUC